rnacentral:lncRNA from 1 species
AUCGAGGUACGUAAUGCAUUUGUGCCGUUGGCUCUCUAAGUUCUCACAAGAAGGUACAAUCGCAACAUCUGCCUCCUUUCCUGGUACACUGUAACUUGAUUUAUUUUUUCCUCGUUUUUUCGGAGUUCUUAUAGUAGUUAACAGUGAAACAUAUCUUCCACGUAGUCAGGCUGCAAUAUUCUUCAAUAUUAGAUAGCUCUGAUUCUUGUACUUCAACGCACUAGCGUGAUUGUGAUGGGCUUCCGUCAUGUUGCAGGGAUACAUCUUUGGUGAGGUCGAUCUCUCUAGAUAGGAUCACACAAUUGGACUCUUCGUUUUCCACAGGUGGUACUUCGCCUUCAGUUUUGUGAUCAUCACAUCCAGCAUCACCCAGAAGCGAAGUGUGGUCUCGUGAAGUACACUUGUAAUUUGACCAGUUCAGUUGCCAUGAGAUUCUAAAACCAAAAAGCUAUGAAAAGCAUCAAUGUAUCAUAAAAAGCUAAUCGUAC